GAUGAACGCUAGCUACAGGCCUAACACAUGCAAGUCGAGGGACCGGCGCACGGGUGAGUAACACGUAUCCAACCUGCCCUUUACUCGGGGAUAGCCUUUCGAAAGAAAGAUUAAUACCCGAUAUAAAGGAUGGGGAUGCGUUCCAUUAGGUUGUUGGUGAGGUAACGGCUCACCAAGCCUUCGAUGGAUAGGGGUUCUGAGAGGAAGCUCCCCCAGAUUGGAGCUGAGGCACAGACCAAACUCCGACGAGAGGCAGGAGUGAGGAAUAUUGGUCAAUGGACGCUAGCCUGAACCAGCCAAGUAGCGUGAAGGAGGAAGGCGUAUGAAUCGUAAACUUCUUGUAUAUAAGAAGAUGUAUUAUAUGAAUAAGGAUCGACUAACUCCGUGCCAGGAGCCGCGGUAAUAC
rnacentral:rRNA from 1 species